GACGAACGCUGGCGGCGUGCCUAAUACAUGCAAGUUGAGCGCUGAAGGUUGGUACUUGUACCAACUGGAUGAGCAGCGAACGGGUGAGUAACGCGUGGGGAAUCCGCCUUUGAGCGGGGGACAACAUUUGGAAACGAAUGCUAAUACCGCAUAAAAACUUUAAACACAAGUUUUAAGUUUGAAAGAUGCAAUUGCAUCACUCAAAGAUGAUCCCGCGUUGUAUUAGCUAGUUGGUGAGGUAAAGGCUCACCAAGGCGAUGAUACAUAGCCGACCUGAGAGGGUGAUCGGCCACAUUGGGACUGAGACACGGCCCAAACUCCUACGGGAGGCAGCAGUAGGGAAUCUUCGGCAAUGGACGAAAGUCUGACCGAGCAACGCCGCGUGAGUGAAGAAGGUGUUCGGAUCGUAAAACUCUGUUGGUAGAGAAGAACGUUGGUGAGAGUGGAAAGCUCAUCAAGUGACGGUAACUACCCAGAAAGGGACGGCUAACUACGUG
rnacentral:rRNA from 1 species